rnacentral:tRNA from 1 species
GCGGGUGUCGUAUAACGGCUUAUUAUCUUUGUUUUCCAAACAAAAAAUCGGAGUUCGACUCUCCGCACCCGCACCA